AGUCACAGAUGGCGACUGGACGGUUUGGGAAGAUUGGAGAGCAUGCAGUGUAACAUGUGGAACUGGCUAUACUACUCGAAUACGGACAUGUUCAAACCCUCGACCGUCGAAAAUGGGACGAUAUUGUGACGGUACCUCUGUGGAAGUUCGGUCCUGUAAUAAUACGUCGUGUUCAGUCACAGAUGGCGUUUGGACUGGUUGGGAAGAUUGGGGAGCAUGCACUGCAACAUGCGGAGCUGGUAUUACUACUCGCAUACGGACAUGUUCGAACCCCCGACCAUCGAUAAUGGGACGAUAUUGUGACGGUACCUUUGUUCAAGUGCAAAUCUGUAACAGUGGUUUCUGCUCAGUAACAGAUGGCGGGUGGACAAAUUGGGGAAAUUGGGGAGUUUGCAGUGUAACCUGUGGUGUCGGCUUAAUCACCUGAUCAAGAACUUGUUCAAAUCCGCAGCCUUCGUUAACAGGGAGAUAUUGUGACGGUACCUCUGAACAAAUGAAAAUAUGCAAUGAUAUUCCAUCUUCAGGUGACAGUGUUGGCUUUUCUGUGCACGACCCACAGACUAAUUCUGGAGGAAAUCCACUGACAUUCCGCACAACACUUUAUAAUAACAACGAUGCAUUUAACAUGACGUCGGGUAAAUUUGUCUGCCAGAAAGAAGGACUCUACGUAUUCAUAAGCACGCUUCUAAGAACAUAUAAUACCACUAGUUCUAUAACUUGCGAUUUUUAUAAAAAUGACGACCCGACCCUCGCGUAUGGUAGUUUCGCUAGUAGCAACAGCUUACGUGACAACCCAUCAAGUACGAGUUCAAUUUUGUAUCAUUUAAAGCCAGGUGAUCAUGUUUAUCUGGGUUCAUGCAAGGGCAUGAGUUAUAUGGCUAAGGCUUCAGGUUUUACAGGCUUUCUAAUUAAUCCCAUGCACUAAAAUGACUGGUCGCUGUUUUGAAAUGACUGGCCGCUGCUUUGAAAUGACUGGUCGCUGCUGAUGAUUUAUACAUGUGACAUGACUUAAAUUAGUUCAUGAUAAGACUCUUCGCAGUAACUGUUACAACAUCGCCGUGGGAAUCGCAUGACCAAAAUAAUCUCCAAACCAAAAACAAAACAAAAAUAAUAAGAAAAAUGAUGGAUAAAUUUAAAGCAAAUUUUCCUGUAAGUCUAAAAUAUAGCCCAUUUCAUGGCAACAUAGAUGUACUCUAAAACUACAUAGAUGUACUCUUAAACUACAUAUAUUUAUAUUACAAUCACCUUCUGAUAACCUGGAACACGUGAAGAAACCGAGACAUUUUAUCAACGUAAGUGUUUGUAAUUACAAGAAAUCUAUCAUCACUGGAAUCCUCAUAAUAAAGAUUAUUUUGAUCUUGUGAUUCCCUAAACUGAACAUGUAUUAUAAUAAUGCUAAUCUUCAUUGUUGACAUUUGAAGUCCAAGCCAGGCGAAAAACUAGCGUUUAACUUUUUAAAUGAAAACGCCAUGUUAACAAUACUAAAAGUCUACUUACGAUUUCUGAAAUCACCAAAUAUUCUGAUUUGCUUUAACAUACAGGUAAGUGAAAUGCAAUGUAAUUGUUUAAAGCUAGAAAAAUAAACGAAUCAAAAUGAAAUUUGGAAUUUAAAUACUAAUAAAUUGUGCUUUUGUGUUGUUUGAAUUUAUCUUAGGUAAUAAUAUAAUUCCUGCAAGCAUUAAGUGUAGAAAGCGUAAUCAGAUCCACCCACAACUUAACAGACUAGUUUCCAUUAUACAUCCUUCUUUAGCCCUCAGAUUAAGUGCAUUAUUUGUGGUUGCUUUAUUUUACAUUAUUCUACCAGAUUUUUAUAGCACCCUUUUUCAUAAUACUCAGGUACAAUAGCGCUUUACAUAGCGCAAAGGCUGUCACAUGCGGUUUCGGCAUUUCCCGUUUUUUAGGGUUAAGCUAUAUCUACGUCUGAAGAAUGCCGAAUUUAAAGAUAGUACGGUAUCAUACGGAAAUAGCAGCUGAGUGCCA